rnacentral:rRNA from 1 species
AGAGCGAACGCUGGCGGCAGGCCUAACACAUGCAAGUCGAGCGCCCCGCAAGGGGGAGCGGCAGACGGGAGAGUAACACGUGGGAACGUACCCUUUGGUUCGGAACAACACAGGGAAACUUGUGCUAAUACCGGAUAAGCCCUUACGGGGAAAGAUUUAUCGCCAAAGGAUCGGCCCGCGUCUGAUUAGCUUGUUGGUGAGGUAACGGCUCACCAAGGCUACGAUCAGUAGCUGGUCUGAGAGGAUGAUCAGCCUCACUGGGACUGAGACACGGCCCAGACUCCUACGGGAGGCAGCAGUGGGGAAUAUUGGACAAUGGGCGCAAGCCUGAUCCAGCCAUGCCGCGUGGAUGAUGAAGGCCCUAGGGUUGUAAAGUCCUUUCGACGGGGAAGAUAAUGACGGUACCCGUAGAAGAAGCCCCGGCUAACUUCGUGCCAGCAGCCGC